rnacentral:ncRNA from 1 species
UUAAACGCUGUGAUAAGAAAAGUACACGAAACACACUUACAAAGAGAGCGUCGCUUGGUGAAAUGACGUGAAGUGGAUUUCUUGGAAAAUCAUCUUUGAGCGAUGAAUGCGAAAUUUGAGCGUUCAUUGGGUGCUCCCAUUAUAGAGCUAGGGUAUUUCAAAAAGAAUAUUUUUUGCGUACCUGAAAAGGUUAUUCGUGUGAGCGAAUAACAAACUAAGGUGGUAACACGUUUAUUAACGUCCUUAUC